UACGGAGGAUGCAAGCGUUAUCCGGAAUGAUUGGGCGUAAAGCGUCCGCAGGUGGCUGUGUAAGUCUGCUGUCAAAGAGCGAAGCUCAACUUCGUAAAGGCAGUGGAAACUACACGGCUAGAGUGCGUUCGGGGCAGAGGGAAUUCCUGGUGUAGCGGUGAAAUGCGUAGAGAUCAGGAAGAACAUCGGUGGCGAAGGCGCUCUGCUGGACCAUAACUGACACUCAGGGACGAAGGCUAGGGGAGCGAAUGGG
rnacentral:rRNA from 1 species